AACGAACGCUGGCGGCAUGCCUAACACAUGCAAGUCGAACGAGACCUUCGGGACUAGUGGCGCACGGGUGCGUAACGCGAGGGAACAUGCCCUUAGGUUCGGAAUAACUCCCCGAAAGGGGUGCUAAUACCGGAUAAUGUCUUCGGACCAAAGAUUUAUCGCUUUUGGAUGGGCCCGCGUUGGAUUAGCUAGUUGGUAGGGUAAAAGCCUACCAAGGCGACGAUCCAUAGCUGGUCUGAGAGGAUGAUCAGCCACACUGGGACUGAGACACGGCCCAGACUCCUACGGGAGGCAGCAGUGGGGAAUAUUGGACAAUGGGCGAAAGCCUGAUCCAGCAAUGCCGCGUGAGGGAUGAAGGCCUUAGGGUUGUAAAGCUCUGUUACCCGGGAUGAUAAUGACAGUACCGGGAGAAUAAGCUCCGGCUAACUCCGUG
rnacentral:rRNA from 1 species